rnacentral:lncRNA from 1 species
CAGCUGUGGCCAGGACAGAGGAGAGAGGGGUGGUUGCUAGGUAACAGCAUCCCCUCCUUCUCUCUACCCAGGAUGCCUGAUGUCUUUGGGGAUCUCUUACUCCGUUGAAUGAGUACUUACUGAAUGCCUACUGUGUGCCGGACUCAGGGAACUCAGGGGAAAAAAAGAAAACAGUUCCGGCUCUUAAGCCAGAUCAGAGGACGCCCAGUAUUGGAGGUUCAGACAGUCAUAUCAAUAAGGGACUAAGUAGCUAUGCUGGGAGGAGAAAUAGAGGAAAGUUCCCAAGGGGUUUUGAGGGUAGAAUAGGAGUCUGACAACAGACAAAGCCACAGGACUUUCCAAGGAGAUGGCGCGUGGGCAGGUUCAGAGCAGCAGUGGACCAGAAAGGGACUGAGGUCAGCAGGACCUGGAUCAGAAGGACCUCGAGGGCGGCUGGGAAGUUUGGGCUGUUCUGAAGCGGUUUCAAGUACAGCCAGUGACAGGAACAAGCCGGAAAAGGUCUCUGAAGACCCGAGGGCCCCCCCUUGCUUUGCUUGUCACGGUGGACCCAGAAGCCGCUCCACCUGGUGUCCUUGGAAACGGGACAGGGAGGCACAGCCAAGCUGCUUACACAGACAGGUCCCCUUCACUUGGGGCUAGGAACUCUGCUCCCUGGUGGCCUGAGAAGGCUCCUGUCCUAGGUUCGAAACCUGCAAAGCCACCCUGGCCCCUGGCCAGCGUGAAGCCUGUCUACACGGUGUUAGGGAAGCGACAGUCUAGAAGGCACGGAGCUCAAUGACAGGCACAGAGCAUGGAUGGCAUCCCGCGGCUAUCUUGUGAAGUAAGUUCUAUCGUUUGUUCUUUGUAGACCUGGGGAUCAACCCCAGGACCUUGUGCAUGCUAGGCCAGUGCUGUAGCACUGAGCUGCAUCCCAGCCCUUGAAUUUCAUUG